GACGAAAACUUUGCCCUUGCCAUGAGGCACUUCUCACACCCAGCGUGGCACUGAGGCCAUCGAGGGGCGCCCGGCACAGGACGUAUGGAGGGAGAUGGGGCAGGAUACGUGCGCAGCAGCUGGGGUCGUGGGUAUCAGAUCUGUCCAUGUGUUGCAUACAAAGGCAGCUCUGUCCUCUCCACAUCUAAGAAGUCCCCCCACGCCCUGAUUCCAAGGCCUAAGGAAGGCAGGCUAAGAAUUCCUACCCAACGGCUUGGAGAUCCCUGGACAGGGAGGCUGAGCUGGAGGCUCCCCUGGUGUCCCAUCUGCCCUCUGUGCCCAAGACUAAUGUUUUUCACUUCCAAAUUUGGCAAAUUUCACUUGGGUGUGGACGGGAUAGCAGCUGUCUCUGGAGCAGAUGCUGGCAGGGGAGUGGGCUGGGAGGAGCAAAGCCAAUCACUGGUGAAGCCCGAGUUCCCUGGGGACACCAGCCUGCUCUCUUCACCUCCCUUUCUUUUUUUAUUUCUUCUGUUCUCCAGCCUCUUCCCCUUCUUUUUCCACCUCUCCAGCCACUUGCCUCUGCCCAGCUGCUGCCCUCCCCGGGAGCCCCAGGGAGGCCUCCAUGGCUUCACCCACCUCCACCAACCCAGCGCAUGCCCAUUUUGAGAGCUUCCUGCAGGCCCAGCUGUGCCAGGACGUGCUGAGCAGCUUCCAGGAGCUAUGUGGGGCCCUGGGACUGGAGCCCGGUGGGGGGCUGCCCCAGUACCACAAGAUCAAGGACCAGCUCAACUACUGGAGUGCCAAGUCACUGUGGACCAAGCUGGACAAGCGAGCAGGCCAGCCUGUCUACCAGCAGGGCCGGGCCUGCACCAGCACCAAGUGCCUGGUGGUGGGUGCCGGACCUUGUGGGCUGCGGGUCGCUGUGGAGCUGGCACUGCUGGGUGCCCGAGUGGUGCUGGUGGAAAAGCGCACCAAGUUCUCUCGCCACAACGUGCUCCACCUCUGGCCCUUCACCAUCCACGACCUGCGGGCACUUGGUGCUAAGAAGUUCUACGGGCGCUUCUGCACUGGCACCCUGGACCACAUCAGCAUCCGGCAGCUCCAGCUGCUUCUGCUGAAGGUAGUAUUGCUGCUGGGGGUGGAAAUUCACUGGGGUGUCACUUUUACUGGCCUCCAGCCCCCUCCCAGAAAGGGGAGUGGCUGGCGUGCCCAGCUCCAACCCAACCCCCCUGCCCAGCUGGCCAACUAUGAAUUUGACGUCCUUAUCUCCGCUGCAGGAGGUAAAUUCGUCCCUGAAGGCUUCAAAGUUCGAGAAAUGCGAGGCAAACUGGCCAUUGGCAUCACAGCCAACUUUGUGAACGGACGCACCGUGGAGGAGACACAGGUGCCGGAGAUCAGUGGUGUAGCCAGGAUCUACAACCAGAGCUUCUUCCAGAGCCUUCUCAAAGCCACAGGCAUUGAUCUGGAGAACAUUGUGUACUACAAGGAUGACACCCACUACUUUGUGAUGACAGCCAAAAAGCAGUGCCUGCUGCGGCUGGGGGUGCUGCGCCAGGACUGGCCAGACACCGAUCGGCUGCUGGGCAGUGCCAAUGUGGUGCCUGAGGCUCUGCAGCGCUUUGCCCGGGCAGCUGCUGACUUUGCCACCCAUGGCAAGCUCGGGAAACUCGAGUUUGCCCAGGAUGCCCACAGGCAGCCUGAUGUCUCUGCCUUUGACUUCACAAGCAUGCUGCGGGCAGAGAGUUCUGCUCGUGUGCAAGAGAAGCACGGCGCCCGCCUGCUGCUGGGACUGGUGGGGGACUGCCUGGUGGAGCCCUUCUGGCCUCUGGGCACUGGAGUGGCGCGGGGCUUCCUGGCAGCCUUUGAUGCAGCCUGGAUGGUGAAGCGGUGGGCAGAGGGCGCUGAGCCCCUAGAGGUGUUGGCUGAGCGUGAGAGCCUGUACCAGCUUCUAUCACAGACAUCCCCAGAAAACAUGCAUCGCAAUGUGGCCCAGUAUGGGCUGGACCCAGCCACCCGCUACCCCAACCUGAACCUCCGGGCAGUGACCCCCAAUCAGGUACGAGACCUGUACGACGUGCUGACCAAGGAGCCUGUGCAGAGGAAUGACAAGACAGAUGCAGGGAUGCCAACCACCGGGUCGGCAGGCGGGUCGGCAGGCACCCAGGAGGAGCUGCUACGCUGGUGCCAGGAGCAGACAGCUGGGUACCCGGGAGUCCACGUCUCCGAUUUGUCUUCCUCCUGGACUGAUGGGCUAGCUCUGUGUGCCCUGGUGCACCGGUUGCAGCCUGGCCUGCUGGAACCCUCAGAGCUGCAGGGGCUGGGGGCUCUGGAAGCAACUGCCUGGGCACUAAAGGUGGCAGAGCAUGAGCUGGGCAUCACACCGGUGGUGUCUGCACAGGCCGUGGUGGCAGGGAGCGACCCACUGGGCCUCAUUGCCUACCUCAGCCACUUCCACAGUGCCUUCAAGAGCACGGCCCACAGCCCAGGCCCUGUCAGCCAGGCCUCCCCAGGGACCUCCAGUGCUGUAUUAUUCCUCGGUAAACUUCAGAGGACCCUGCAGCGAUCCCGGGCCAAGGAAAAUGCAGAGGAUGCUGGUGGCAAGAAGCUGCGCUUGGAGAUGGACGCCGAGACCCCAAGUACUGAGGUGCCACCUGACCCAGAGCCUGGUGUACCCCUGACACCCCCAUCCCAACACCAGGAGGCUGGUGCCGGGGACCUGUGUGCACUUUGUGGGGAACACCUGUAUGUCCUGGAACGCCUCUGUGUCGACGGCCAUUUCUUCCACCGGAGUUGCUUCCGCUGCCACACCUGUGAGGCCACACUAUGGCCAGGUGGCUACGAGCAGCACCCAGGAGAUGGACAUUUCUACUGCCUCCAGCACCUGCCCCAGCCAGACCACAAAGAAGAAGGCAGUGAUGGAGGCCCCGAGAGUCCGGUAAAGACUGUGAAGGAGCUCCCCACACCAAGUGAGAAUAGCAUGCCACCAGGCCUCUCAACUCCCACAGCCUCGCAGGAGGGGGUCGGUCCUGUUCCAGAUCCCAGCCAGCCCACCCGUCGGCGGAUCCACCUCUCCAGCCUAGAGCGCCAGCGGUUGUCCUCCCUUAACCUUACCCCUGACCCGGAAAUGGAGCCUCCACCUAAGCCCCCCCGCAGCUGCUCCGCCUUGGCCCGCCACGCCCUAGAGAGCAGCUUUGUGGGUUGGGGCCUGCCAGUCCAGGGCCCUCAAGCUCUUGCGGCCAUGGAGAAGGAGGAAGAAGAGAGUUCCUCCUCCAGUGAAGAGGAAGAAGAUGUACCUUUGGACUCAGAUGUGGAACAGGCCCUGCAGACCUUUGCCAAGACCUCAGGCACCAUGAAUGACUACCCAACAUGGCGUCGGACUCUGCUGCGCCGUGCGAAGGAGGAGGAGAUGAAGAGGUUCCGCAAGGCCCAGGUUCCCCAGAACAGCAAAAGAAACUAUGGGUAGGACAGCUGCUACAGCUCGUUGACAAGAAAAACAGCCUGGUGGCUGAGGAGGCUGAGCUCAUGAUCACGGUGCAGGAGUUGAACCUGGAGGAGAAACAGUGGCAGCUGGACCAGGAGCUACGAGGCUACAUGAACCGGGAAGAAACCCUAAAGACAGCUGCUGAUCGGCAGGCUGAGGACCAGGUCCUGAGGAAGCUGGUGGAUUUGGUCAACCAGAGAGAUGCCCUCAUCCGCUUGCAGGAGGAGCGCAGGCUCAGCGAGCUGGCCUUGGGGAUAGGGGCCCAGGGCUAGAAGAGGGUGGACUGUCUGCUUUCGUUCUCACAAGGAAAACCCCUCACCCCAGCACAGUGCCACCCCUGUUCAUCUGGGCUGCCUGGCAGAGAGCCUUGCUGUUUACAAUUAAAAUGUUUCUGCCACAAACAGGGCUCACACUGCCUACAGGUGGGAGGUGGGGGCGUGUAUGGGGACAGGAGAUGUGUAGGAGCCUAAAGGUCUGUAGUGUGACAGUCACACUGACCCCUGGCUCCCAUUGCCUCUACAAGUAAAAAGGCAGAGCCACUAAA